CGUAUGUGAACCGACAUACGUCACAUCCGGACAGACUGUUUCAUUCAGAGGAGCAACAUGGCGACUGAAAACUUAAGAGUAAAGUCCAGUAUCGACAUUCAAAGAACCCAGGAGCUGAAGAUGAACCUUCUCCUGCUCAGACCUCCAGACUGACCUGCUGGUUAAAUGGGACUAUGAGUUGAUCUAAGAAGAACAAGCAGCAUGAAGGCUGUCGAUUCACCUCACAGGUAGUAGACCAGAGAACCAUGAGGCUGUUUGAGGCCCUGCUGUGGAUCCACAUGGUAGGGUUAUAGGUAAACCUCUGACAAACUACAGGUUGUAGGCAAACCUCUGACAAACUACAGGUUCUACGUAAACCUCUGACAAAGUACAGGUUCUGGGUAAACCUCUGACAAACUGCAGGUUCUAGGCAAACCUCUGACAAACUACGGGUUCUAGGUAAACCUCUGACAAACUACGGGUUCUAGGUAAACCUCUGACAAACUACAGGUUCUAGGCAAACCUCUGACAAACUACGGGUUCUAGGUAAACCUCUGACAAACUACAGGUUGUAGGUAAACCUCUGACAAACUACAGGUUCUACGUAAACCUCUGACAAACUGCAGGUUCUAGGCAAACCUCUGACAAACUACGGGUUCUAGGUAAACCUCUGACAAACUACAGGUUGUAGGUAAACCUCUGACAAACUACAGGUUGUAGGUAAACCUCUGACAAACUGCAGGUUCUAGGUAAACCUCUGACAAACUACAGGUUGUAGGUAAACCUCUGACAAACUGCAGGUUCUAGGUAAACCUCUGACAAAGUACAGGUUGUAGGUAAACCUCUGACAAACUGCAGGUUGUAGGUAAACCUCUGACAAACUACGGGUUCUAGGUAAACCUCUGACAAACUACGGGUUCUAGGUAAACCUCUGACAAACUACAGGUUGUAGGUAAACCUCUGACAAACUACAGGUUGUAGGUAAACCUCUGACAAAGUACAGGCUCUCGGCAAACCUCUGACAAACUACAGGUUGUAGGUAAACCUCUGACAAACUACAGGUUAUAGGCAAACCUCUGACAAACUACAGGUUCUAGGUAAACCUCUGACAAACUACAGGUUGUAGGUAAACCUCUGACAAACUGCAGGUUCUAGGUAAACCUCUGACAAACUACAGGUUGUAGGUAAACCUCUGACAAACUGCAGGUUCUAGGUAAACCUCUGACAAACUACAGGUUGUAGGUAAACCUCUGACAAACUGCAGGUUCUAGGUAAACCUCUGACAAACUACAGGUUCUAGGUAAACCUCUGACAAACUACAGGUUGUAGGUAAACCUCUGACAAACUACAGGUUGUAGGUAAACCUCUGACAAACUACAGGUUGUAGGUAAACCUCUGACAAACUACAGGUUGUAGGUAAACCUCUGACAAACUGCAGGUUCUACGUAAACCUCUGACAAACUACAGGUUCUAGGCAAACCUCUGACAAACUGCAGGUUCUAGGUAAACCUCUGACAAAGUACAGGUUGUAGGUAAACCUCUGACAAACUACAGGUUGUAGGUAAACCUCUGACAAACUACAGGUUCUAGGUAAACCUCUGACAAACUGCAGGUUGUAGGCAAACCUCUGACAAACUACAGGUUCUACGUAAACCUCUGACAAAGUACAGGUUCUAGGCAAACCUCUGACAAACUGCAGGUUCUAGGCAAACCUCUGACAAACUACGGGUUCUAGGUAAACCUCUGACAAACUACAGGUUAUAGGUAAACCUCUGACAAACUACAGGUUCUAGGUAAACCUCUGACAAACUACAGGUUGUAGGUAAACCUCUGACAAACUGCAGGUUCUACGUAAACCUCUGACAAACUACAGGUUCUAGGUAAACCUCUGACAAACUACAGGUUCUAGGUAAACCUCUGACAAACUACGGGUUGUAGGUAAACCUCUGACAAACUACAGGUUGUAGGUAAACCUCUGACAAAGUACAGGUACAGAAUUUCAACAUAAAUAACUUUUCAUUUUUUAGACCAAAUGCUUCAUAUUAAAGUGUUCUACCUGUUGAGUUUUGCAUUAUUGUGACCUGCAGCUACAUGUGGUUCAGUGGUUGGAUGUUUAUGUAUUUUUUUGUUAAAUGGAACUUAAAGACGUGACAUUUUGUGACCACUUCAUUUCUUGUUGUAUUUCAGUUGACCCUUAAUCAGAUUAUGUGAUCGACAUGUCUGAUUUGACAGAUCGUGAAUCGGUGUAAAGAUGUCGAGUAUUUAAUGUUGAAUCCUUUGAUUUUUCAGAACCCAGGAGCUGAAGAUGAACCUUCUCCUGCUCAGACCUCCAGACUGACCUGCUGGUUAAAUGGGACUAUGAGUUGAUCUAAGAAGAACAAGCAGCAUGAAGGCUGUCAAUUCACCUCACAGGUAGUAGACCAGGUAAAUACGUAAACCUGCAUCAUCAUUAUUAUUUCUAUUGUUGUUGUUGUGUUUUUAGUGCAGACCUUUCCAGCGAGACUGAGCCUGCUGUGGCUCUGAUCUUUCCUGUUGUGUCUGCUAGAGAACCAUGAGGCUGUUUGAGGCCCUGCUGUGGAUCCACAUGGUAGGGUUAUAGGUAAACCUCUGACAAACUACAGGUUAUAGGUAAACCUCUGACAAACUACAGGUUCUAGGUAAACCUCUGACAAACUACAGGUUGUAGGUAAACCUCUGACAAACUACAGGUUGUAGGUAAACCUCUGACAAACUACAGGUUGUAGGUAAACCUCUGACAAACUGCAGGUUCUAGGUAAACCUCUGACAAACUGCAGGUUCUAGGUAAACCUCUGACAAACUACAGGUUGUAGGUAAACCUCUGACAAACUACAGGUUCUAGGUAAACCUCUGACAAACUACAGGUUCUCGGUAAACCUCUGACAAACUACAGGUUCUAGGUAAACCUCUGACAAACUACAGGUUGUAGGUAAACCUCUGACAAACUACAGGUUGUAGGUAAACCUCUGACAAACUACAGGUUGUAGGCAAACCUCUGACAAACUACAGGUUCUAGGUAAACCUCUGACAAACUGCAGGUUCUACGUAAACCUCUGACAAACUGCAGGUUCUACGUAAACCUCUGACAAACUACAGGUUAUAGGUAAACCUCUGACAAACUACAGGUUGUAGGUAAACCUCUGACAAACUACAGGUUCUAGGCAAACCUCUGACAAACUACAGGUUGUAGGCAAACCUCUGACAAACUGCAGGUUGUAGGCAAACCUCUGACAAACUACAGGUUAUAGGUAAACCUCUGACAAACUACAGGUUCUAGGCAAACCUCUGACAAACUACAGGUUCUAGGUAAACCUCUGACAAACUACAGGUUAUAGGCAAACCUCUGACAAACCACGGGUUCUAGGUAAACCUCUGACAAACUGCAGGUUCUACGUAAACCUCUGACAAACUGCAGGUUAUAGGUAAACCUCUGACAAACUACAGGUUCUGGGUAAACCUCUGACAAACUACAGGUUCUGGGUAAACCUCUGACAAACUACAGGUUCUAGGCAAACCUCUGACAAAGUACAGGUUCUCGGUAAACCUCUGACAAACUACAGGUUCUAGGUAAACCUCUGACAAACUACAGGUUCUAGGCAAACCUCUGACAAAGUACAGGUUGUAGGUAAACCUCUGACAAACUACAGGUUCUAGGCAAACCUCUGACAAAGUACAGGUUAUAGGUAAACCUCUGACAAACUACAGGUUCUAGGCAAACCUCUGACAAAGUACAGGUUCUAGGUAAACCUCUGACAAACUACAGGUUCAAGGCAAACCUCUGACAAAGUACAGGUUCUAGGUAAACCUCUGACAAACUACAGGUUCUAGGUAAACCUCUGACAAACUACAGGUUCUAGGUAAACCUCUGACAAAGUACAGGUUGUAGGCAAACCUCUGACAAACUACAGGUUCUAGGCAAACCUCUGACAAAGUACAGGUUCUAGGUAAACCUCUGACAAAGUACAGGUUCUAGGUAAACCUCUGACAAACUACAGGUUCUAGGUAAACCUCUGACAAACUACAGGUUCUCGGUAAACCUCUGACAAAGUACAGGUUGUAGGCAAACCUCUGACAAACUACAGGUUCUAGGCAAACCUCUGACAACUACAGGUUCUAGGCAAACCUCUGACAAAGUACAGGUUCUAGGUAAACCUCUGACAAACUACAGGUUCUAGGUAAACCUCUGACAAACUACAGGUUCUCGGUAAACCUCUGACAAACUGCAGGUUCUAGGUAAACCUCUGACAAACUACAGGUUGUAGGUAAACCUCUGACAAACUACAGGUUCUAGGUAAACCUCUGACAAAGUACAGGUUCUAGGCAAACCUCUGACAAACUGCAGGUUCUAGGUAAACCUCUGACAAACUGCAGGUUCUACGUAAACCUCUGACAAAGUACAGGUUCUAGGUAAACCUCUGACAAACUACAGGUUGUAGGUAAACCUCUGACAAACUACAGGUUCUAGGUAAACCUCUGACAAACUGCAGGUUCUACGUAAACCUCUGACAAAGUACAGGUUCUAGGUAAACCUCUGACAAACUACAGGUUGUAGGUAAACCUCUGACAAACUACAGGUUGUAGGUAAACCUCUGACAAACUACGGGUUCUACGCAAACCUCUGACAAAGUACAGGUUCUUGGCAAACCUCUGACAAAGUACAGGUUAUAGGUAAACCUCUGACAAACUACAGGUUGUAGGCAAACCUCUGACAAAGUACAGGUUCUAGGUAAACCUCUGACAAUCUACAGGUUGUAGGUAAACCUCUGACAAACUACAGGUUGUAGGUAAACCUCUGACAAACUACGGGUUCUACGCAAACCUCUGACAAAGUACAGGUUCUUGGCAAACCUCUGACAAAGUACAGGUUGUAGGUAAACCUCUGACAAACUACAGGUUGUAGGUAAACCUCUGACAAACUACAGGUUCUAGGCAAACCUCUGACAAACUGCAGGUUGUAGGCAAACCUCUGACAAACUACGGGUUCUAGGUAAACCUCUGACAAACUACAGGUUCUAGGUAAACCUCUGACAAACUACAGGUUCUAGGCAAACCUCUGACAAAGUACAGGUUAUAGGUAAACCUCUGACAAACUACAGGUUCUAGGCAAACCUCUGACAAAGUACAGGUUCUAGGUAAACCUCUGACAAACUACAGGUUCAAGGCAAACCUCUGACAAAGUACAGGUUCUAGGUAAACCUCUGACAAACUACAGGUUCUAGGUAAACCUCUGACAAACUACAGGUUCUAGGUAAACCUCUGACAAAGUACAGGUUGUAGGCAAACCUCUGACAAACUACAGGUUCUAGGUAAACCUCUGACAAACUACAGGUUCUCGGUAAACCUCUGACAAACUGCAGGUUCUACGUAAACCUCUGACAAAGUACAGGUUGUAGGUAAACCUCUGACAAACUACAGGUUCUAGGUAAACCUCUGACAAACUGCAGGUUCUACGUAAACCUCUGACAAAGUACAGGUUCUAGGUAAACCUCUGACAAACUACAGGUUGUAGGUAAACCUCUGACAAACUACAGGUUGUAGGUAAACCUCUGACAAACUACAGGUUGUAGGCAAACCUCUGACAAACUACAGGUUGUAGGUAAACCUCUGACAAACUACAGGUUCUAGGUAAACCUCUGACAAAGUACAGGUUCUAGGCAAACCUCUGACAAACUGCAGGUUCUAGGUAAACCUCUGACAAACUGCAGGUUCUACGUAAACCUCUGACAAAGUACAGGUUGUAGGUAAACCUCUGACAAACUACAGGUUCUAGGUAAACCUCUGACAAACUGCAGGUUCUACGUAAACCUCUGACAAAGUACAGGUUCUAGGUAAACCUCUGACAAACUACAGGUUGUAGGUAAACCUCUGACAAACUACAGGUUGUAGGUAAACCUCUGACAAACUACGGGUUCUACUCAAACCUCUGACAAACUACAGGUUCUUGGCAAACCUCUGACAAAGUACAGGUUCUAGGUAAACCUCUGACAAACUACAGGUUGUAGGUAAACCUCUGACAAACUACAGGUUCUAGGUAAACCUCUGACAAACUGCAGGUUCUACGUAAACCUCUGACAAAGUACAGGUUGUAGGUAAACCUCUGACAAACUACAGGUUGUAGGUAAACCUCUGACAAACUACAGGUUGUAGGUAAACCUCUGACAAACUACGGGUUCUACGCAAACCUCUGACAAACUACAGGUUCUUGGCAAACCUCUGACAAAGUACAGGUUCUAGGUAAACCUCUGACAAACUACAGGUUGUAGGCAAACCUCUGACAAAGUACAGGUUAUAGGUAAACCUCUGACAAACUACAGGUUGUAGGUAAACCUCUGACAAACUACAGGUUCUAGGCAAACCUCUGACAAACUGCAGGUUGUAGGCAAACCUCUGACAAACUACAGGUUCUAGGUAAACCUCUGACAAACUACGGGUUCUACGCAAACCUCUGACAAACUACGGGUUCUACGCAAACCUCUGACAAACUGCGGGUUCUACGCAAACCUCUGACAAACUGCGGGUUCUAGGCAAACCUCUGACAAACUACGGGUUCUCGGCAAACCUCUGACAAACUACGGGUUCUAGGCAAACCUCUGACAAACUACGGGUUCUACGCAAACCUCUGACAAACUGCGGGUUCUACGCAAACCUCUGACAAACUAAGAAAAAAUGGGCAACAAAAUGACACAAACGACACAAAACAGACAAAAAGGAAACAAAAAUGAUGCACAAAAUAAUGAACAAAGCAAAAGACAAAAUGACAAAAACAGGAGACGACAAAAGUCAGAAGAAAACCAAUAGAAAGUAGACGGAAUAUUAGAAAGAAGAGACAACAAAUUAGACAAAGUGACACAAACAUGAGACAACAUGAGAGACAAAAAUAAGACAAACGACCUCAAGUGAGACAAAGAGGAAACACAAUGAGAAAAACAUGAGACAACAGUCUGACAAAAAAACGACGGAUGUACAAUGAAUCUAGAAUUUGUAGAGUUUUCACUUUGAGCAACGUGUGAAUAAAAACAUGGAACUUUUUCCACCUUAUUGUGGUUUUAGAGAAAGUUCUGGAUCUUUGUUUCUCCAUCAGAACAGGAACUAAACAUCUGUGCUCUUCAUUUCUUGCAGGUCUUCAGCAGUAGUUCUGGAUCCGUUUGAAUCAAAGCUUCAGUUUGACGUAGAUGAUCAAAGACUCUGACGUUUCUUCAUCUACCUGAAGAAGAGAAAGAACAGUUUUAACUAAAACUUCAUUCUUUGUUCUCUGUAGGUUUCAUGACCAGAGAAGGAAACCAGAACAUUCAACGGGACGUCUGGGUUUAUUUCUGCUCCGCUUCAGGAAUUAAAGAGGAUUUUCAGUCAUUUAUGUUUAGUGUCUUCUAACAUAAAGAAAUGAACGAGAUUAUUGUGUAAAACUGAGGUAAUAAACUGUUUACAGGUGGUAGAAAAA